CAGAGGGUGCGAGCGUUGUUCGGAAUUACUGGGCGUAAAGCGCGCGUAGGCGGCUCUUUAAGUCUUGCCGUGAAAUGCCGGGGCUCAACCCCGUGCACGUCGGGGGAUACUGGGGAGCUGGAGACGAGUAGAGGCGAGCGGAAUUCCGGGUGUAGCGGUGGAAUGCGUAGAGAUCCGGAAGAACACCAGAGGCGAAGGCGGCUCGCUGGGCUCGGUCUGACGCUGAGGCGCGAAAGCGUGGGGAGCGAACAGGAUUAGAUACCCUGGUAGUCCACGCCGUAAACGAUGGAUGCUAGACGCUGGGGGGAUCGACCCCUUCGGUGUCGCAGCUAACGCGAUAAGCAUCCCGCCUGGGGAGUACGGCCGCAAGGCUG
rnacentral:rRNA from 1 species